UAAGGCGGAUUUAUCUGCCGCUCAUGGAUGGGCCUGCGGUGCAUUAGCUAGUUGGUGAGAUAGUAGCUCACCAAGGCGACGAUGCAUAGCCGACCUGAGAGGGUGAUCGGCCACACUGGGACUGAGACACGGCCCAGACUCCUACGGGAGGCAGCAGUAGGGAAUCUUCCGCAAUGGACGCAAGUCUGACGGAGCAACGCCGCGUGAGUGAUGAAGGGUUUCGGCUCGUAAAACUCUGUUGUUAAGGAAGAACACUUGAGGUAGUAACUGGCCUUGAGAUGACGGUA
rnacentral:rRNA from 1 species